GAGCGGCAGCGCGGGGGCAACCCUGCCGGCGAGCGGCGAACGGGUGAGUAAUACAUCGGAACGUGUCCAGUUGUGGGGGAUAACCAGUCGAAAGACUGGCUAAUACCGCAUACGAUCUACGGAUGAAAGCGGGGGAUCGCAAGACCUCGCGCUAUUGGAGCGGCCGAUGUCCGAUUAGCUAGUUGGCGGGGUAAAAGCCCACCAAGGCGACGAUCGGUAGCUGGUCUGAGAGGAUGAUCAGCCACACUGGAACUGAGACACGGUCCAGACUCCUACGGGAGGCAGCAGUGGGGAAUUUUGGACAAUGGGGGCAACCCUGAUCCAGCCAUGCCGCGUGAGUGAAGAAGGCCUUCGGGUUGUAAAGCUCUUUCGGCGGGGACGAAACGGUCCGCGCCAACACCGCGGACUAAUGACGGUACUCGCAGAAGAAGCACCGGCUAACUACGUG
rnacentral:rRNA from 1 species